UUUGGGUUUUUUACUUUUUUCAGAAGCUUUUCAUUGAACUGUUUUAGCCUUUUUUACGAAUAUUAUAUGUUGAGAAAUUUACGAAAAAUAUUAUAUUUUUAAAGCAUGCUUUUUAAAAUUUAAUUUAAUUUUUUAAAAUUUUCUUUUGUUAAAAUUUUUAUACUAUGGCCUUCAUUUAUCGCAAAAUUUAUUUCGAGGCAAAUGUUCCAAAUUCUCUUGUACCAUUUGCAUGAGAUAUUAAAGAUCUGUUUUAAUCACCAUUGCAGAUUAGUAUGGAUAUUUAAGCAUCUCUGCUUCAGCAAAAGAAUUGUUUUAUUGUUAAUGAAUGCACUACAAUCAAAUAAUGCUGAGGAGGGAGGCGUAAUUACACAUACGCCUUUACUCUUACGUAAUACUUCCAUAUCGUUAAAUGCGCUGCAGCUAUUUUGAACAGGCCAAGUGCUAUAAAUAUCUUAUUUCUGCAACCUAAAAAUUUUGGUAUAGCUUCCAUAUUAACGAGACAAUUGUAAUAUAAAUAAUUUAAGGAAAUUAGAGGAAAGUGAAACUGCUCCGACACUUAAAUGUUGUACAAAUAUGAGACAUUGCCUAAUAGUAAUAUUUUUUCUGUUGUUCACCUGCCAGUGUCCGAGCAUAGAAGACAGCUGUGCGCUUGUAGUUCAACCCGCUUUCAAAUAUCGGUGAACGAGCUGGCUGCAUGAACGUUUUUCCUGGUUUUCCCUACAUGUGCAAGUGAAUACGAGUCAGUAUCCCUUCAGCUAUUAUUUAUUACAUAUGAAAACAUUUGGGAAAAUCAACUCUUCACUACAAUUUAAUAUGCUUUGUCACGUGACAUAAAACAGCCAACUACAGCGAGCCACUGAGGUUACGAUGCAAAGGAAAACAUCCGUACUAUCAGCACAGUGAGCUGAAUAAAAAAUUUCUGCUGAGCAUCAGGGAAAAAAAAGGAUCAAAACAUUGAAGCAGAUUGGUGGAAUACGAACAUGAACGAUCUCUUGUUUUUUUUGUGGGAGGGAGAAAAAAUUGUACGUCUUUCUUUCAAUGGUAAAUCCGGUAGAAAUUAGCUGGGAACAAGCUGAUUGUCUGAAAUAGGGGGGUGUGUUAUAACGCUUUUAGAAAGUCCUCCACAAAGGCAUUUUUUCCCUUACUCUAUGUGCAUUAAUUUUUGUAGCAUAGCAACACAGCAAUUAUGCUCUGCUUGGUUUGAAACUGUAAUCUUCAUAUUCUUAUAAAGGAAGAAAAAUAUGUCAUACUUUAAAAAAGGAGGUAGAUCGCGGUGAUAUUUAAAAAUGUUUUUUUUUUUCAUCAGCAUACAUAUUAAUAAUAUUUUUCAUUUCAACUUCACAAAUGUAGAAGCAAACUUAUAAGAAACGCCAUGAUUUCCGCUACCGUUGACACGUUUUCCCUCUACAUUCUAACUACAGUUAUAUUUCAGAUUAAUUUUAGGCCUGUCAGUGGCCGUGGGGCUAAAGCCACUAAUCCCUGAUACUUUAUCUUGGAUCCUAUUCUUAGCGAACGGCCUUUGGUUCUGGAAAGCUUAAACAUCAUCAUGAACAUCAUCGUGGGCGUACUCAGAUGGAAGUAUUCGAAGAACUUUGAAUAGUCCAAAGUAUGGCAAUGAUUCCAAAAUGAUGGAGAUGUAAUGUAUGACAUUACAUCAGGGGAAAAAUUAAAUAAACCAAACAAACCUCUUUUCAUAAUUUUUCAGGUUGCAUCAAGAUUGUUUAUCCGUUUUCAAAAGCAAAAAGUUGCUUAGAAUCUAUCAGGGUUACAUCAGAUGAAAGCUCAGAUGUCAUGACUAUGUUGCUACCUACGGUUAUUCAUAACUGGUGCUAAAUCAAGCUUCUUGGUCACAGUUUCAAGGUUAAGAGUAUAAUACAUUUAUUUGGAAAACAUGUUUGAGAAAGAACUUAUGCCUCUGAAAGAUUAAGUGUUGACCACUGUGUAUUGCAAUCUUACUCGAACACAAGAUAAUCCAAGACAACCAGAUAUCCAGAUAAACCUUUGUGCCAGAAGAAAAGUAGAAGAAACGAGUCAUUUCGAGAAUAAACGCGAAAAACGAGUUUUUGGUAGCGAACUCAAAUGUGUAGUAACAUUUUUGUUGGACCCAUAUUCACAAGGCAAAAGUUUCUAUCCGUAUCCGAAAGUAUGUUAAAUGUAGUAAAUCAUAUUACUUGACAAGACAAAGUGUGAAUUUUGAACCUUGGUGUUUAAAUAUCCUCCCUACUAACAUGACCGUGGAUAAAAACAACCUGCUUACACUCAAUCUAGAACUGCCAGAGAACUUUUUUGUCAUGUAUAAUGAUUCCCACCUCCCUUUCAAACAACUCUUUUCUCAAGAAGAUGCAAAAAUUAGCCUCAGCAUUACGACUUUGCAGUGGAAAGAACUGAUGACAAACUUUAGCCUUAUCAGCGACAUUGUCACACCUUCGUUUAUCAAAAUAUGAAUAUUUACGAAGCAUACGAAAGCGUAUCUGACUAAACUAUUGACAAGGAAAAUCUUCCAGAAUCUUAGGAAAUUUCUACGGGAAGCGCAGGCCUCGAAACCAUUCUGAAGACAUUGCCUGAAGAGAUUAUAAAGUCUGGCCUUCUUAAGUAGCUUAAAAUUAGACCAGAACUGUAAAAGACAAAGCCCUUUAUUUAAUCCAAAUAAAGUUUAACAGUCGGUACCAACUCGUGCAUAUACAAGCUAAUAGCUUUCGCUUAAAUCAUAGGCAAUGGAUGAACUAAAACUAAUGAAAUUAGUAUAGCCUAACUGCUUCACAGUAUAACUAGUGCGUAAGCUGCCUCUGAUCGAAGUCGGCGUUAACAAGCCUAAUGCAAAAAUGACUCAACGCCGCAGAAACUAAUCGAGAGAAUCAAAUUUAUCAGCGUGCCUUUCAAGUAGGCAGAACACGCUUUAUUUCACUUUUUAAAAGUUUCCUUUAAAUACUCUCUACUUUCUAUCUCAUUUGAAUAUCGCGCAAGCUAGAAAUUUACAUUCCGGUAGAGAAAUAGUAACAAGACUGCUAGAAGAGGAUGUUAACAUAAAAUAGCGGUUUAGACACUUAAAUGAUACUUUACAACAUUCACCAACAAGGGGAUAGGAAACAUCCUGAGCUAAUACAUUGUGAAGAACCCGUUGUUCGUAAAAAAGAAAUUGUGAAUUCCCUUGCGUGAGAUUAAAUUCUGUUGACAUAGCCAGAUAAUUAUAAUUUUAUGGAAAUUUAUCUGGGCCGAAGAACCCUAUUAAUUUUUACUUAAACCUGCUCACUUCGUUGCCAAGGACAUUUUAAAAUCUAUGCGUUUAAAUCAUAUGUUAAGCGAAGUAAGAGAUACUUUUUGUCCUACGAACUUAGAACAAUAUGGUGUCUUUGGUACUGAAGACUAUGAAUAUUUGUAAAUAUGGUAUAAUGUUCAAUAAAAUGUAA